CCUACGGGAGACAGCAGUGGGGGAUAUUGCACAAUGGGGGGAACCCUGAUGCAGCGACGCCGCGUGGGUGAAGAAGCGCCUCGGUGUGUAAAGCUCUGUCAGCAGGGAAGAAAAUGACGGUACCUGAAGAAGAAGCCCCGGCUAACUACGUGCCAGCAGCCGCGGUAAUACGUAGGGGGCAAGCGUUAUCCGGAUUUACUGGGUGUAAAGGGGGCGCAGACGGCGGUGCAAGCCAGGAGUGAAAGGCCGGGGCCCAACCCCGGGACUGCUAUUGGAACUGCGUGGCUGGAGUGCAGGAGGGGUAGGCGGAAUUCCUGGUGUAGCGGUGAAAUGCGUAGAUAUCAGGAGGAACACCGGUGGCGAAGGCGGCUUACUGGACUGCAACUGACGUUGAGGCCCGAAAGCGUGGGGAGCAAACAGGAUUAGAUACCCUAGUAGUC
rnacentral:rRNA from 1 species